rnacentral:rRNA from 1 species
UUGGAGGGCAAGUCUGGUGCCAGCAGCCGCGGUAAUUCCAGCUCCAAUAGCGUAUAUUAAAGUUGCUGCAGUUAAAAAGCUCGUAGUUGAAUUUCGGGACCAUCAUGUCGGUCGUGCCUCGGUACGUACUGGUAUUGUUGGUUUCUCCCUUCUGACGAACCAUGAUGUCAUUUAUUUGGUGUUGUGGGGAAUCAGGACUGUUACUUUGAAAAAAUUAGAGUGUUUAAAGCAGGCUCACGCUUGAAUACAUUAGCAUGGAAUAAUGAAAUAGGACGUUUGAUUCUAUUUUGUUGGUUUCUAGGAUCGACGUAAUGAUUAAUAGGGAUAGUUGGGGGCAUUAGUAUUCAAUUGUCAGAGGUGAAAUUCUUGGAUUUAUUGAAGACUAACUACUGCGAAAGCAUUUGCCAAGGAUGUUUUCAUUAAUCAAGAACGAAAGUUAGGGGAUCGAAGACGAUCAGAUACCGUCGUAGUCUUAACCAUAAACUACGCCGACUAGGGAUCGGAUGAUGUUAAUUUUUUAAUGACUCAUUCGGCGCCUUACGGGAAACCAAAGUGUUUGGGUUC